CAAUAGCGUAUAUUUAAGUUGUUGCAGUUAAAAAGCUCGUAGUUGGAUUUCUGGUGGGAGCGAUCGGUCUGGCGCUUAGCGCGAGUACUUGCAUCGUCUCCGGCCAUCCUUGGGGAGAGUCUGUCUGGCAUUAGGUUGUCGGGCAGAGGAUCCUCAUCGUUUACUGUGAAAAAUUAGAGUGUUCAAAGCAGGCUUAUGCCGUUGAAUAUAUUAGCAUGGAAUGAUAAGAUAGGACUUUGGUACUAUUUUGUUGGUUUGCGCACCAAAGUAAUGAUUAAUAGGGACAGUUGGGGGUAUUCGUAUUCCGUUGUCAGAGGUGAAAUUCUUGGAUUUACGGAAGACGAACUACUGCGAAAGCAUUUACCAAGGAUGUUUUCAUUAA
rnacentral:rRNA from 1 species